rnacentral:rRNA from 1 species
GACAGCGGCGAUAGCACGUUGAAUUCACCAGUUCCUCAUGGAUCACUCGAGUUAAGCAACGUAGCACGUGCUUGAUACAAAAUGGGUGAUCAUCUGGACAAUCGCGUGCUGCUGGCU